UUGGUAGUGUUUCAUUGGCAUAGCAGAUGGUUGCUAGAAGGGUUCGCAGAUACCAACGGGAGAGAACGCACAUAAAACUAUGUCUGUGUCAGUGCGUUGCAAGUCAUUAGUAUGGCUGGCAACAAUGGAAUAAUGGGGAUUUUCAAGAACAAGAUGGCAUCCGUUCACCUAGCCACAUGUCUUGUGUGUGCUUCCAUAUUUUGGAUACUUGUCUUGAUGUGGUGAACAUUGAAGAAAUAGCGAGAAGCAAUGUGAACUAUUUGAGCGUGGCUAUUUGUAUUUCUAGGCCUGUAAAGGCGCAUGCGUCCCUGUUUCCAUUAUCGAAGAAAAAAGAUAGGUCAGUAGUGAAAGAGGAGCUACUUCAAGCAAUUGCACCCUUAGACAGAGGAGCUAACGCUACUCUUGAUGAUUAGUAUCAAGUUGAAAAGUGUAAAAGUUUGAAAUGCGAGAAAUCAACAAUAGAUUGGAUGCCCUUUGUGUUGGACGGUGCUAAAAUCUCAAAAAGCGUCCCAGAAAAUGUUAACAUACUUGCCAUAGAGGCCAACCAAGGAAAUAAAGCCAAGAUGACAGUAGUUGCAGAUAGAUAUUGAAUAUCCAUCCAGCCUUUUGGGCGAUUGAAUAUCCAUACAAGUUUCACUAUAUAGGCUAAAACAAUGAGUGUCAAAGACGAUGUCUGCAUACAUUCCUCCCAAUCAAAUGAUUUAAGUCAACAAUCUCAAUGAGAAGGUUAAAAAAGAAGGUAUUUCUUUUCUUAUGUAAAUUCUAGUGUUAUUUGUUUCGCUUUGUCUAUUUGUCAAGGCAUAGCUUGAAGAAGGAGAAAAAAUAAAUUAUUUUUUCAGACAUUAUAAACCCUAGCUUGGUGUCUUAUUGCUACAUUCUUCUCAUUGCAGUGAGAUUUUUUAAUUUCAAUCAGAUAUCGGUCAACCAUAUAUUAAACUGGCUGAGUUACCUUAGAAUUCCACAAGCUUUACCAAAUGUUUUCAUUUUCUUUUUUGAUAUAUUUUAUUAUUAUAAAAAAAAUCCAGUGGAAGUGAUAGCUUAUUACCAAAGUUAAUAACGCUUUCCCCCAAAGAUUUUACUCUCAAUGUGUUUUUCUGCUUACAUUUUCAUUUUAAAAUUAGAAACAAUGACAUAGAAUCAUUGGGAAAGAUGUUGAUUGGCAAAGUUUAUACCUAAAUUUAUAUGGGUUUCAGCACAUCAACAAUUAUUUUUUCUGAUCUUUG